rnacentral:misc_RNA from 1 species
GGAGGGAUCAUUAACACUAUUUGUUUGACUAGGAGCAAUCCUUAUCAUUCAGAUUAAACCAAUCAACACCACGUGAACCUGGGUUAUAUGAAGUUGUACUUUUCCCCUGCUUGCUCGUGGACUUGUACGAUGUAAUUAUAGCCCGAUCCUCCCAUUUUUCUAAGAGCGCUCGCAUCCGAUGUGUAGCGGAGGUAUAGCACCUCAUCUGUGUAAGCACUGUAUGGCCUUUGUGUCAUAUCGUAAAGCUUUUAGAUUAAUGGACUAAAUUUCGGUAGCUGCUACAGUCGAGAAACCAAACCAAACCUUUUUUGUUGUUUAGGCAAAAACAAUUUUCACCCCUUCGUACUCCAACUGACUGAUUAUGUCGUGACGAUGAAAUAGCCUGCUUGCUCGAUAUUUCUGACCUCACUUCACUAAGAUUAUUCUAAUCUAAGCACAACUCUUAGCAACGGAUAUCUUGGUUCUCGCAACGAUGAAGAACGCAGCGAAAUGCGAUAUGUAAUGCGAAUUGCAGAAUUCAGUGAAUCAUCAAAUCUUUGAACGCAAAUGGCGCUCUCGGGAUAGACCCAAGAGCACGCCUCUCUCAGUAUCGGUGAACUUCAAUCUCUCAACUUGAUUUGAUAACUUCGGUUUGAUAUGAUAAGCGAGGAAAAUGAGUGUCUUAUAACUAUUCCUUUGGAAUGAAUUUAAGUCGCUUGAAAGUCACUUGUAACGAGUCGUUGAAAUCUCUCCUAGUACUGUUUAGUCUUUUGACUAGACUAGCCCGAUGUGGUGAUAAUUGUAUUAGUGACGUGGAUAAACCUUACUUUAGUAGUGCUUGCGCUAUUACUGUAAAUUGAAACGUCGUAAGCUAUUACCUUUAUCGGAACUGACAGGUGAAAUUCUAAGAGCUGACCAAGCGAUACAGAAUUAUUGAAAGCAGAUCAAUCGACAGUGCUUAACCGCACUUGAGAGCGAUAUGUGAGUAGACCAAUUUUUUCUCAUUCGAUCUGAGAUGAAGCGAGACUACCCCCUGAAUUUAAGCAUAUUAUUAAGGGGAGGAAAAGAAACUAACAAGGAUUUCCCUAGUAACGGCGAGUGAAGCGGAAAUAGCUCAAAAUGAAAAUCCAAGAUCUACACAGGUCUUUGGAAUUGUAUCCUAUUCGACGUGCUAUCAGCGUGUGACUCAAGUACAAGUCCUUUGGAAGAAGGCAUCAAAGAGGGUGAGAAUCCCGUCUCUGACUUGAGCAAUACAAUUCACCGCGUACGAUGCAUGUUCAUCGAGUCGAGUUGUUUGGGAUUGCAGCUCUAAAUGGGUGGUAAGUUUCAUCUAAAGCUAAAUAUUGGCGAGAGACCGAUAGCGAACAAGUACCGUGAGGGAAAGAUGAAAAGAACUUUGAAAAGAGAGUUAAAAAGUACUUGAAAUUGCUAAGAGGGAAGCGCUAGAAACCAGUGUAUUGUACCAUUGUCAUUUUGCCUAUUCAGAAGGGAAUCGCGGUAUGUCCAGUUGGCAACUCUGGUAGUGCUGUGUGUUUUCGUAUGAGUGGGUCCUGUGAUAGUGGGAUGUCAGAAUGAGUUUGAAUUGCAGGAGACGCUGUUGGGAAAGGUAGGGUAGUAGCAAUACUAUCUGUUAUAGUCCUAGCAGAAUACUGUGAUUUAGACUGAGGAACUUCAUGGUGCGCCACUAGGCAUGAAACUUUGCUUCUAACGGGUGAUGUGAAUUCUAUGACAAUGUCAUAUUGUUUCCAUUUGCUUGUUACUGGGUAGAGCUUUCAUUUGCAUCGUAUGUUGAUUCUGACUAAAUGGUUUCUAUCGACCCGUCUUGAAACACGGACCAAGGAGUCUAACAUAUAUGCAAGUAUUUGGGUGGAAAACCCUAUAAUGCGCAAUGAAAGUAAAGGCAGCUUGCUGCUAUGGUAGGAAAGUUAAUAGAUAUUUCUAAUGACUGGCACUAUCGACCGAUCCUCACUUGUGAGCCGAUUUGAGUAAGAGCAUAUCUGUUGGGACCCGAAAGAUGGUGAUCUAUGCCUGAACAGGGUGAAGCCAGGAGAAAUUCUGGUGGAGGCUCGUAGCGAUACUGACGUGCAAAUCGUUCGUCUGAUUUGGGUAUAGGGGCGAAAGACUAAUCGAACUAUCUAGUAGCUGGUUCCCUC